rnacentral:rRNA from 1 species
ACUCCUACGGGAGGCAGCAGUGGGGAAUAUUGCACAAUGGGCGCAAGCCUGAUGCAGCCAUGCCGCGUGUAUGAAGAAGGCCUUCGGGUUGUAAAGUACUUUCAGUCGUGAGGAAGGUAGUGUAGUUUAAUAGCUGCAUAUUUUGACGUUAGCGACAGAAGAAGCACCGGGCUAACUCCGUGCCAGCAGCCGCGGUAAUACGGAGGGUGCGAGCGUUAAUCGGAAUUACUGGGCGUAAAGCGCAUGCAGGUGGUUUGUUAAGUCAGAUGUGAAAGCCCGGGGCUCAACCUCGGAAUUGCAUUUGAAACUGGCGACUAGAGUACUGUAGAGGGGGGUAGAAUUUCAGGUGUAGCGGUGAAAUGCGUAGAGAUCUGAAGGAAUACCGGUGGCGAAGGCGGCCCCCUGGACAGAUACUGACACUCAGAUGCGAAAGCGUGGGGAGCAAACAGGAUUAGAUACCCUGGUAGGAUAGCGU